GUGGGAGCAAGGCUUGCCCGCGAUGCAGGCGACUCGGUUUGGCUGUCAAACCAGGCGAUGCCAUCGCGGGCAAGCCUUGCUCCCAC
rnacentral:misc_RNA from 1 species